rnacentral:rRNA from 1 species
UACAGAGGGGGCAAGCGUUGUUCGGAAUUACUGGGCGUAAAGGGCGCGUAGGCGGCCCGCUAAGUCGAACGUGAAAUCCCCGGGCUCAACCCGGGAACUGCGUCCGAUACUGGCAGGCUUGAAUUCGGGAGAGGGAUGUGGAAUUCCGGGUGUAGCGGUGGAAUGCGUAGAGAUCCGGAAGAACACCGGUGGCGAAGGCGGCCUGCUGGGCAGUGGCUGACGCUGAGGCGCGACAGCGUGGGGAGCAAACAGG